rnacentral:lncRNA from 1 species
AAGACUGUCUUGCAUGGAGAGAAUUGGCUGUGAUUUAGGGCUGUAUCCCAGUUGUCUGAAUGAGGUCUAAGGAAUCAGACUUUCCAUAAUACACUCCGGAUUAGUCAUUCGGUGAGCAGGAUUAUAGCUAUCAAAAGGAGAGCAAUGAGGCUGCAUGUGCGUGGUGGUGGUACAGACUUCAGGGCCAUUCCCAGCCAUCAUUUUCCAGAACCUCAGAACUGGAUUAUGCUUUUUUGGUGCCAGAGGAAAUGAUCGACUUCUGCUCCUUGAGAAUACUAUGCCAAUUACCGUUUCUAUAGUGUCAGCUCUGCUCAAAGUUGCAACUCGACAAGACUGAUGGGAGGGGACUGUGUGCACUCUCUUGGGACUCAGCUAGGCACGGAAUCUGAGCCAGGUAAGACAGGCCCAUUCAUCCACCCAGGAUAAGGCAUUCUUCCCAAGUGUGCAACAGAGGUGAGAUAAGCAAGUCUCUCUCAUCCUGGAAACAUCUGGGAAGUGUCCAUGGCAAGUGCGGCCUCAGCCCUCGAACCUGGCAGGGCUCCCAAAGCAUGCACGAGAUGAGUCGGAAGUAACAGAGGUAAGAUCAUAUCAAGAUCGGGGGCCUGAGGGAGACAGGCGUCAUCUCUGC